CCCUUAGAUGCUCUGGGCCGCACGCGCGCUACACUGGUCGAUGCAACGAGUUUCUUUCCUUGGCCGACAGGCCUGGGCAAUCUUUGAACAUCGAUCGUGAUCGGGAUAGAUUCUUGUAAUUUUUGAUCUUAAACGAGGAAUUCCUAGUAAACGCAAGUCAUCAGCUUGCAUUGAUUACGUCCCUGCCCUUUGUACACACCGCCCGUCGCACCUACCGAUUGAAUGGUCCGGUGAAGCGUUCGGACCGUGGCCUUUGGACGGUUCGCCGUCUGUUGGCUGCGGGAAGUUCGUUAAACCUUAUCAUUUAGAGGAAGGAGAAGUCGUAACA
rnacentral:rRNA from 1 species